ensembl:snoRNA SNORA70 Small nucleolar RNA SNORA70
AAGUAGAUACUCUAGUACAUUUGGGAGAUAAAGGGUGUGCACUGGCUGCAAACAGCAGCCUCCUUUAGUAUAUGCAGCCUGUUUCCUGUAUAGGUUGCCCUAAGGCACUUUGGAGACAGUC